rnacentral:rRNA from 1 species
CUACGGGGUGCUGCAGUGGGGAAUAUUGCACAAUGGGCGCAAGCCUGAUGCAGCCAUGCCGCGUGUAUGAAGAAGGCCUUCGGGUUGUAAAGUACUUUCAGCGGGGAGGAAGGGAGUAAAGUUAAUACCUUUGCUCAUUGACGUUACCCGCAGAAGAAGCACCGGCUAACUCCGUGCCAGCAGCCGCGGUAAUACGGAGGGUGCAAGCGUUAAUCGGAAUUACUGGGCGUAAAGCGCACGCAGGCGGGUUGUUAAGUCAGAUGUGAAAUCCCCGGGCUCAACCUGGGAACUGCAUCUGAUACUGGCAAGCUUGAGUCUAGUAGAGGGGGGUAGAAUUCCAGGUGUAGCGGUGAAAUGCGUAGAGAUCUGGAGGAAUACCGGUGGCGAAGGCGGCCCCCUGGACGAUGACUGACGCUCAGGUGCGAAAGCGUGGGGAGCAAACAGGAUUAGAUACCCCUGUAGUC